rnacentral:tRNA from 1 species
UCCUCGGUAGUAUAGUGGUCAGUAUCCCCGCCUGUCACGCGGGAGACCGGUUGAUUCCCCGCCGGGGAG